rnacentral:rRNA from 1 species
CUGGUUGAAUUCCCCGUUUUCAACACUUAUGUGACAUACCUAUAACUGUUGCUUCGGCGGGUAGGGUCUCCGUGACCCUCCCGGCCUCCCGCCCCCGGGCGGGUCGGCGCCCGCCGGAGGAUAACCAAACUCUGAUUUAACGACGUUUCUUCUGAGUGGUACAAGCAAAUAAUCAAAACUUUUAACAACGGAUCUCUUGGUUCUGGCAUCGAUGAAGAACGCAGCGAAAUGCGAUAAGUAAUGUGAAUUGCAGAAUUCAGUGAAUCAUCGAAUCUUUGAACGCACAUUGCGCCCGCCAGCAUUCUGGCGGGCAUGCCUGUUCGAGCGUCAUUUCAACCCUCAAGCUCUGCUUGGUGUUGGGGCCCUACAGCUGAUGUAGGCCCUCAAAGGUAGUGGCGGACCCUCCCGGAGCCUCCUUUGCGUAGUAACUUUACGUCUCGCACUGGGAUCCGGAGGGACUCUUGCCGUAAAACCCCCAAUUUUCCAAAGGUUGACCUCGGAUCAGGUAGGAAUACCCGCUGAACUUAAGCAUAUCAAUAAGC